rnacentral:rRNA from 1 species
ACUCCUACGGGAGGCAGCAGUGGGGAAUAUUGGACAAUGGGCGCAAGCCUGAUCCAGCCAUGCCGCGUGAGUGAUGAAGGCCCUAGGGUUGUAAAGCUCUUUUGUGCGGGAAGAUAAUGACGGUACCGCAAGAAUAAGCCCCGGCUAACUUCGUGCCAGCAGCCGCGGUAAUACGAAGGGGGCUAGCGUUGCUCGGAAUCACUGGGCGUAAAGGGUGCGUAGGCGGGUCUUUAAGUCAGGGGUGAAAUCCUGGAGCUCAACUCCAGAACUGCCUUUGAUACUGAAGAUCUUGAGUUCGGGAGAGGUGAGUGGAACUGCGAGUGUAGAGGUGAAAUUCGUAGAUAUUCGCAAGAACACCAGUGGCGAAGGCGGCUCACUGGCCCGAUACUGACGCUGAGGCACGAAAGCGUGGGGAGCAAACAGGAUUAGAUACCCUGGUAGGAUAGCG